rnacentral:rRNA from 1 species
GUGGAUUAGAUACCCUGGUAGUCCACGCCCUAAACGAUGAGAACUAGCCGUUGGGCCCUUUAAGGGUUUAGUGGCGCAGCUAACGCAUUAAGUUCUCCGCCUGGGGAGUACGGCCGCAAGGUUAAAACUCAAAUGAAUUGACGGGGGCCCGCACAAGCGGUGGAGCAUGUGGUUUAAUUCGAUGCAACGCGAAGAACCUUACCUGGUCUUGACAUCCUGCGAACUUUCCAGAGAUGGAUGGGUGCCUUCGGGAGCGCAGAGACAGGUGCUGCACGGCUGUCGACAACU